AACGAACGCUGGCGGCGCGCUUAACACAUGCAAGUCGAACGAGAAGGCGUAGCAAUACGCUUGUACAGUGGCGAACGGGUGAGUAAUACGUGGGCGACCUACCCUCGAGUGGGGAAUAACCCGCCGAAAGGCGGGCUAAUGCCGCGUACGCUUCCAUCUUUAUGGAGGUGGAAGGAAAGCCGUGCCGUGGGCACGGCGCUCAAGGAUGGGCUCACGUCCUAUCAGCUUGUUGGUAGGGAACGGCCUACCAAGGCUCCGACGGGUAGCUGGUCUGAGAGGACGAUCAGCCACACUGGCACUGCGACACGGGCCAGACUCCUACGGGAGGCAGCAGUGAGGAAUAUUGCGCAAUGGGCGAAAGCCUGACGCAGCGACGCCGCGUGGGGGAUGAAGGUCUUCGGAUUGUAAACCCCUUUCGGGAGGGAAGAUGGGACGGGCGAACCGUUCGGACGGUACCUCCAGAAGCAGCCACGGCUAACUUCGUGCC
rnacentral:rRNA from 1 species